rnacentral:rRNA from 1 species
AGAGUUUGAUCAUGGCUCAGGGACGAACGCUGGCGGCGUGCCUAAUACAUGCAAGUCGAACGAGAAUUUCUUACACCGAGUGCUUGCACUCACUGUAAGAAAUCCGAGUGGCGGACGGGUGAGUAACACGUGGGUAACCUGCCCAAAAGAAGGGGAUAACAUUUGGAAACAAAUGCUAAUACCGUAUAACCAUGAUGACCGCAUGGUCAUUAUGUAAAAGGUGGUUUUGCUAUCGCUUUUGGAUGGACCCGCGGCGUAUUAACUAGUUGGUAGGGUAACGGCCUACCAAGGUGAUGAUACGUAGCCGAGUUGAGAGACUGAUCGGCCACAAUGGGACUGAGACACGGCCCAUACUCCUACGGGAGGCAGCAGUAGGGAAUCUUCCACAAUGGGCGCAAGCCUGAUGGAGCAACGCCGCGUGAAUGAAGAAGGUCUUCGGAUCGUAAAAUUCUGUUGUUAGAGAAGAAUAUGAGUAAUAGUAACUGAUUAUUCACUGACGGUAUCUAACCAGCAAGUCACGGCUAACUACGUGCCAGCAGCCGCGGUAAUACGUAGGUGGCAAGCGUUGUCCGG